UGGGGAAUCUUCCGCAAUGGACGAAAGUCUGACGGAGCAACGCCGCGUGAGUGAUGAAGGUCUUCGGAUUGUAAAACUCUGUUGUUUGGGAAGAACGGCUCAUAUGUGAAUAAUGUAUGAGAUUGACGGUACCAAACGAGGAAGCCCCGGCUAACUACGUGCCAGCAGCCGCGGUAAUACGUAGGGGGCAAGCGUUGUCCGGAAUUAUUGGGCGUAAAGAGCGCGCAGGCGGUUUGUUAAGUCUACCGUGAAAGCUUACGGCUCAACCGUAACGGGUCGGUGGAUACUGACAGACUUGAGGGCAGGAGAGGAAAGUGGAAUUCCCAGUGUAGCGGUGAAAUGCGUAGAGAUUGGGAGGAACACCAGUGGCGAAGGCGACUUUCUGGACUGUUACUGACGCUGAGGCGCGAAAGCUGGGGGAGUGAACGGGAUUAGAUACCCCGGUAAUCCCAGCCGUAAACGAUGGGUACUAGGUGUAGGAGGUAUCGACCCUUCUGUGCCGGAGUUAACGCAAUAA
rnacentral:rRNA from 1 species